AAUCCCUGAUUUUAAUUGCCCGGUAUUUCUUGUUUUGUGUGUUGGUUGACGUGUUUUUCUUAUCGUUGUCAUUUAAAUACUCUCUGCAAUGAAACGCUGUGAAGAUUUUAUCAAUUUAUCUAUCUAUUUUUUGUCGAUUAACUAUCAAUCGACGAACUGUUGACUCAGUAGAAGCCUCAUAGUUUGACCCAUGACCGGUCUAAGAUGGCGCAUUGUUUUGAUAUAACUUUCAUUAUGGUAUGAAAAAGUCUACAAAAU